GAUGAAGAACGUAGCGAAUUGCGAUAAGUAAUGUGAAUUGCAGAUUUUCAGUGAAUCAUCGAAUCUUUGAACGCAUCUUGCGCUCCUUGGUAUUCUGAGGAGCAUGCCUGUUUGAGUGUCAUUAAAUUCUCAACUACACUGACUUUGAAUUGGUGUGGCUUGGAUUUGGGGGGAAAAUUGUUGUGGGCUUUUUGUAUAGUCUGCUCCCCUGAAAUUGAUUAGCGGUACCUUUGUGGAACUGUCUACAGGUGUGAUAAUUAUCUACAUCUUAGACAUCUGCUGGAAUGCUGCUUUCUAAACCUUACUUGUAUUGACAAUCUUGACCUCAAAUCAGGUAGGACUACCCGCUGAACUUAAGCAUAUCAAUAAGCGGAGGA
rnacentral:misc_RNA from 1 species